rnacentral:rRNA from 1 species
UACGUAGGCAGCAAGCGUUGUUCGGAGUUACUGGGCGUAAAGGGUGUGUAGGCGGUUGGAUAAGUGUGGUGUGAAAUCUCCCGGCUUAACUGGGAGGGUGCGCUACAAACUGUCUGACUAGAGUGUGGGAUGGGUAAGUGGAAUUCCUGGUGUAGCGGUGAAAUGCGCAGAUAUCAGGAGGAACACCGGUGGCGAAGGCGGGACUCUGGGCCGAUACUGACGCUGAGGAGCGAAAGCGUGGGGAGCAAACGGG